GUUUACAAGCUUCCUCUAGACUCCCUGAAUUGUGGAUAUUGGAAAAAGCAUUAGGAACUCAAUUAAAUUUGAGUCUUUACUAGAAAUAUUUAUCCCCUAAUCUUCUCACAUAAGCAAAUAUUCAUUAGACCCAUGACUUCAAUCUGAUUUUUCCCUUUGUUCUCGAAUCUCACUGCUCUAAACAUCAUUUGUGUGCAUUUAAUAUCUCUAAAAGACCUUUGAAUCCCGUGAAAUCGGUUACCAAAGCCAGAAACCCAAGAAUCAUCUUAGAUCUUUCUUCAUGGUUUUAUUUUGCUUCCUCUUUCACUUCAAGAACCCAUUACUAGAUUCUAGAGAUUUUAACCACCUAUUACAAUAUCUUCCCUACUCUCUCCUUCAUCUCUAGAACCCCUACCAUUGUGAAAGCCCCUUCAACAUGAAGUAGUUAUGAUGACCAGACUGCAACUACUUCUCUUCUGGUCCCCCUGCCUCCCAUCUUGCCCCACUUCAUUAUCUCCAGUAAUGCCCCCAAGUAGUCUUCUCAUAAUCGCAAUCUGUUUAUUUCCUUCCCCUCAUCUUAAAAUUCUUGAAAAUUUCUCCACAGUUUUCAGAAUGAAGUUCAAAAUGUACUAGUUCCUCCAGAGUCUUCCCUUAGGUCCGCCUUGCACAAUUCCUCACUUGUACCCUUUCCCUGCACCCACACUGACUGGCUUGUCUGCCCUGAAUAGGUUACUCAGCUUCAGGUUCACUGCCCCUGCACAGAACUUUGCAUUAUCUAGAAUGUUCUUUUCUACUUUAUUCUCUUAUUACUCUUUGAGUCCUACCAUCUCUUUUCUGGAAUGUAGGCCCUCAGUGGACAGAGACGGCAUAAUUUGUUCAUCUCUAUGCCAAGUGCUCUGCUCAUUACUCUGCCGCCACACUUCUGAUACUUUACUCACUUUUCCAUAAUGUCAGUGCAAUUCUCAGUAUCUACAACUGUACUGUAAAUGUAUUGAAAACACGUAGCAGCUAGUAUAAUACCUAAGUAAAUGUCUAGUAUUUAUUGGAUGGAAAAGAAGAAGGAAAGAGAAAUAAACAAAGGAAAAUAAAGAGCAACAGGACCCACAUGUUGCCUAUCUCCAUACGCAUCAUGAACUCAUGGUGGGAUUCAGCACUUUGCCCUUAAAGCCGACCCAUGCUGGAAAGCAUAACUUAACCUUAACAAGAAACUGGAAAUUUACUUUGUAGAGAGUAAAUCUCAAAAUCACCAGGGAUAAUGGCAAAAAGGGAAGAGCUACUGCAAUAAAAUGGUAAAUUAUAAACUAACAAUAAAGACUAUAUAUGGAGA